rnacentral:rRNA from 1 species
AUUGAACGCUGGCGGCAGGCCUAACACAUGCAAGUCGAGCGAGCGGCGGACGGGUGAGUAAUGUAUGGGGACUGCCCGAUAGAGGGGGAUAACUACUGGAAACGGUAGCUAAUACCGCAUACUAUCGGAUAACCCAUAUGGGAUUAGCUAGUAGGUGAGGUAAUGGCUCACCUAGGCGACGAUCCCUAGCUGGUCUGAGAGGAGUAUCAGCCACACUGGGACUUAGACACAGCCCAGACUCCGACGGAGGCAGCAGUGGGUAAGAUUGCACCAUAGGCGCAAGCCUGAUGCAGCCAUGCCGCGUGUAUGAAGAAGGCCCUAGGGUUGGAAAGGACUUUCAGUCGGGAGGCGUUACCGACAGAAGAAGCACCGGCUAACUCCGUGCCAGCAGCCGCGGUAAUUC